GUCACACCAUGGGAGUGGGUAUUCAUGACUGGGGUGAAGU
rnacentral:rRNA from 1 species